GGCUCGGCAGGGCUGCGGCUCCGUGCGCCUGCGCAGCGCUGCUCGGCUGGGGCUCGAGGCGGCGGACGUCGCGGAGGGGCGUUCCCAGGUGGAGGGGCGCCUGCAACCUUUACCCCGCAGUGGUGGAGGGUUCCGCAGAGACCAGCGCUCUCGUCCCGUUCCAGAUGUGUGUUCAGUUGUCAAAGAUGCUUUGAACUCAAGAAUGACCAAGGGACACAUUAUCAGCCAAGCACAAAUGAGAAUGACUCUUCACAAAAGAGGAUGGCUACUUGGAGCUGUCUGGAAUUUUAAAAAGCAUAUGCUUUUCUGCUUCUCCGAGAGGAAAGCUCAGUCUGGAAUUAGAUUGACAAUGGCGCCCACCUCCCCUGAAAUCACAAAGGUUGCUGGGGAGUCACAGACACCUGUGAGGGGCUGUGGCCAGUCCUCAUCCUGGGAAGUCAGGAGCACACACUAAGAGGCCAUCUUCCUCUUCCUUUUCUGUUGUGUGCUGAUCCACACCCUGGGGGAGAUAUUGAAUCUAAAGAACAGGCCCCACAGACCUUAAACCUGGAAACCACGAACGAGCAGCCCGAGAUGCCGACCGCACCAGGAAUUCUCCGUUGCAGGCCCCUCCCCGAGGCUGACAGUACAGGUUUCUCCCUCUUCUCUGACUGGCAGGAGGUGGGGCACGCGGAGCUGCCGCACACCAACCCCACCCUGGGCAGCUUUCGGCCACCCUGGGAGACCAUCCGUGAUGGGACAUCUUUCCCUGCUCUCUUGGACUCUUUGUGCUGUGUAAGUGACAAGGAGAUUAUCUGCCCUUUCUGGAUUCUUUAUUCUGUGCAGAUAAUAAAGAGAUCAUUUGCUGGAA